UACGUAGGGGGCAAGCGUUGUCCGGAAUCAUUGGGCGUAAAGAGCGUGUAGGCGGCCAGAUAAGUCCGCUGUGAAAUCUCGAGGCUCAACUUCGAGCUGUCGGCGGAAACCAUCUGGCUAGAGUCCGGAAGAGGAGAAUGGAAUUCCCGGUUUAGCGGUGAAAUGCGCAGAUAUCGGGAAGAACACCCGUGGCGAAGGCGGUUCUCUGGGACGGUACUGACGCUGAGACGCGAAAGCGUGGGGAGCGAACAGG
rnacentral:rRNA from 1 species